UGGUGCAACGGAAUGAGGGGCGGGAGGUGCUGGGCGGCAAGGGCCGCAGCGGUGCGGCUGUGGCGGCGCAGGGUGGGCCGGCUGCGGGGCAGCCUCUAGGGGAGGCUGGGGCGGCGGAGCGCGGCCUGAGGGCAGCGGCUGCCAGCGGGGCCGCAGGGCGGUCACCUUGGGGCGGGGCCGGGCCCGGGCCCCGGCCCCGGGUCCCGGCUGCGAAGGCCGAUGCCGGGCGCGGCGGGGGGGCCGGCUCUGUGCGCGGCCUCGGCGGGGCAGCGCUGCCGCCUUCCCGGCCGCGGCUCUUGGGCAGCACCGGGGUCGAGCCAGGCCGAGGGGGUUAAGGGCGCGGGGGAGCCGGCACCGGGAGCGGGCAGCGCUGCAGGUAGUUCCGGGUGCUGUGGAGCGUGUGUGAAGUGAUGCUGAUUUUUCUAAUGUGCAAAAUAACUUAUUUUUAUUUAUCGGAAUUCCAGUGUGUUACCAAGUGCUCAGGCGUCACCAUCCAAUUAAUAUCAAAAUUUCCAGGUUUUAAGAGAAGAAAAAGAUCGAGGCUGGCUCCAGAGAGAGGUUGGGUUACAAUAUGGUGACAGUCUUAUUAUUUAGUCUGGAGGUUGUCCACUGUUGUUGUACCUGGAGGUGACAAUUUACUAUUUGUGCUCCUGAUUUGUCUGCUUCUGCAUAUACCUCCCACUGUCCAAGAAUGCAACUAAGUUUUGUCUACAUAGAAAGCAAAUACUGCAAGUAACCCAGCCUAUUGACAGGAAGAUCAGUAAGUGGGAAACAGAUGAUGAAUUGUUAGGCUUCGUAAAACUUUGAAAUGAAGUGAGAAGAGUUUGUUUUGCCCUUUUUUUUUUAAAUUUCCUUUGUGGUUGUAGGGGUUUUUUUGAGGGGGGAUUGGUUUCUGUCUGACAAACCUAAAACUGAAAUAGUACAAGGAACACUUAUGGUCAGUAAAGUUGUGACAUAAGAGAUCAACUGUAUAAAAUAUAUAACUCCAAAACAUGAAUUCUGAACGCAUAUAGGCAAAAUCUAUGAGAUGCAAGCCUUGUGCAAGGGACUUACUCAUUUUGUUGAGUAUAGGUUUUAUAGUGGGUACUCCUUGACGAGUGUUUUUUAGAGGGGCUACUGUAAAAGAAGCACUAGCAGUGUCUUUACCACUGUCAGCCUCACAGGUGGGAUGCUUCUGUCCAGAGCACAAUUAAUGGGGUUUUAAAGAUUGUUUUACUUUUCAAAUUGAACUACAGAGUCUAGGCUAUAUAAUCCAGCGAGUCUGACUCCAUAUUAUUUUGGAGUUCUUCUUCGUAUUAUUACAUUAUUGGAAACUGCCGUGUAGUAGAAUAAAAGGUUUGUUCACGAAGCUGAUCAUAUAGUUUAAAUCAAGGACAGUGGUUAAAACAGGAUGUUUUAGGGCCAAAGUAGGGAAGAAAGAGAUGGAAGACAUGCUAGUUAGUAUAAGCAUAUUCCUAACUAGCAGUUAUUUUUCUGAAUCUGGGCAUAAAAUAGCUAGGUUUUGUUCUUUGUACAGCAUAUUGUGAAAAUGUAGGAUUAAAAGUGGCUUUUUUGUAUUGUUAAACCAGGGACUACUGGGCACAGUUGAGAGAUAAAAAUGCAGUCAGCAGCAGUGAUAAAGUCUGCAGUGCUCCUUGCUACUUCACAAAAAACCUGUCACCCAGAAACUAUGGGUUCCUAGGCUUAUUGUGGACAGGGCAUGCAAAUAAGAAUAUGUAUUACAAUUACUUAAUAGGAGUCCCUGCAUUCUGUUAGCAAGCUGCACCCGAGUUGCUUCAUUUUUGUGUUGUUUUAUGUUGACUCAGACACAGGAAAAAAAGCCAACUGAUGUACACAAUAAAAAUGUUAACAAAAAACCUACCAGACCUGGAACCAAAGAAACUGUGGUUAAUUUCUUUUCCUCCUCUGAGUAAUAACACUUCAGUGGAUCGCUGCCUCUCCUCUGAGACUGGGAGAGACCAUAGGCAGGACAGGACAGGGUUGAGCCAAGAGGGUUGGGUAGAGGUGCCUGUGGUGAGGAGAAUGGUGAUAGUAACUGGUGUCCUAACUGGGAUGUGUGGGGAUUUUUUUUUUGUGUCAAGUCGUGUUUUGGUUUUUGGUUUUCCUAAAUCUGGAAGGACAGCAUGCCACCUCCUGUGGAAAUAAAUGGAGAUGGGCAUGCCAUCCAAAUGGGGAAAAUUUUUCUAUGCCCUUUUGAGCUGUUCUGAGAAGGAACAGUUCUUCCCUGUUAGCCCACACUCCAAAUGUUAGAUAUAUAAAUAAAAGACUGGUUGUGUACUCUCAUCAGUUUUAUUUUGAGAUUUUUUUUUUCUUCCAUUCAGAAUGCAGGACUUUAGUUAUUUUUCCAUAUUUGUUACCUAUUAAAAAUUCUGCAAGAAAUUAAUUAAUUCCAAAACUGGAAAAGUGUUCGUAUUUAUUUUUAACAAAAUUGUUAUGGCUAUUUGGGAAUACUAACAUUCCUCAGUUCUUAGGUCUACAGUCUGCUGUGCUGCUGGAUAUUUCUUAGAGCUAAAAGUUUUGUUUAAUUUUAGACUGCAGAAAUAAUUGGACCUUUAGGAACCUCAGGAUGAACUUUGGUAUUCAGUUAAAAUGAGUUGUAGAAAUAAAUUGAAGAGUUUCAGUAAGAUGCACAGAUGUUUUUUCCAAAUUCUUUCCUUUUGAUAGACCUGUGUGUACUUGUUAAAAUAUUGGCUCGCCUUAGUUUUAAGGACUGAAUUUGUUUCUCAUUGCUUUUUUCCAAAUAAUGUUAAUCACAAGCAACUCAGUGUUCAUGUAUGUGUGUAUUUAGGUGGGGGUCUUAGCCUACAAACUUUUGUUGGUAAGAAUUUGUAGAAUGACUGCUUUAUUGAUUUUAAUGUAAAAAAUAAAUAAAAUUGUAACUUUUUCCA